rfam:Capsicum annuum cultivar Zunla-1 chromosome 5, whole genome shotgun sequence
GUGAGCCAUAUGCGGGGAGACCCGCACGUACGGUUUUUAGGGGGGUCUGUUCGAAAAAAUGGUCGGCGUCCACCCGAC